rnacentral:rRNA from 1 species
UGGGGAAUAUUGCACAAUGGGCGCAAGCCUGAUGCAGCCAUGCCGCGUGUGUGAAGAAGGCCUUCGGGUUGUAAAGCACUUUCAGCGAGGAGGAAGGUGGUGAGCUUAAUACGCUCAUCAAUUGACGUUACUCGCAGAAGAAGCACCGGCUAACUCCGUGCCAGCAGCCGCGGUAAUACGGAGGGUGCAAGCGUUAAUCGGAAUUACUGGGCGUAAAGCGCACGCAGGCGGUUUGUUAAGUCAGAUGUGAAAUCCCCGGGCUCAACCUGGGAACUGCAUUUGAAACUGGCAAGCUAGAGUCUCGUAGAGGGGGGUAGAAUUCCAGGUGUAGCGGUGAAAUGCGUAGAGAUCUGGAGGAAUACCGGUGGCGAAGGCGGCCCCCCUGGACGAAGACUGACGCUCAGGUGCGAAAAGCGUGGGGAGCAAAACAGGAUUAGAUACCCUGGUAGUCCACGCUGU